UUAUAAUAUUCACAUCCAGUUGUCUCCUGCUUAUAUCUGGUUUGCAGAACUUUACUAAAAUUAACUCCAGAUGAUUUAAGGGGUUUUGCUGCUCAAAUGCAGCAGUUUUCUAAACCUACUUAUUCAGUGGAUGGUUUGGGGUUGUGUGACGUGAGCUCCGGUGCCCAUCUUCUGUGUUGAAUAGAUGGGACAUGUUGAAGAACCUGAAGAUUUCAACUGGAGUCCUUCUUGCUGCAGAUACCAGGUGACCUCUCUGCUGGUUCCUUGGUAGAAAACUGGAUCUCCACGUCCUCCUCUGCAGCUGUACACACCUCCCUGUGAGAUGAAGAGGACUCCAUCUGGUUCAUUGUUUCUGAAGGAUCCAACUGCAGAAUAUUGUAAUCUGUCUUUGAACCAGGCAACCUUAAAGCCAGCAGAUCCGUCCACAGAGCAGCUUAAUGUGACACUGCCCCCUGCUGGGCAGCAAUGACAGGAUGGAGCAGGUCCCCAUUUCCACAGAAGGAGCAGAACAUAUACCUUGAAUCUUAAAAGAAACACAGAGUGUAAAAUUACCUAUGAUUAUUAGUUACCAAAG